rnacentral:misc_RNA from 1 species
AAUUCUCAACCUAACCAGCUUUUGUGAGCUUGGAUAGGCUUGGAUGUGGGGGUUUUGCGGGCUUCACUUUGAAGUCAGCUCCCCUUAAAUGCAUUAGUGGAACCCUUUGUUGACUUGCUCCUGGUGUGAUAAUUAUCUACAUCGCGUGCAGUCGGCUGUCUAAUGGGCCUUUCUGCUUCUAACUCGUAUCAUCCUUUUUAUAAGGAGGAACGCUUUGACCAU